UUUUUUCAAGAGAAAUUGAAAUAUCAACAUGGAUUACAUACCAUUGUCAAAUACUGUGUCAUCCAAAAUAUUCUGUUCCUCGUUUGGAAAAUAAUAAUUGUUCGAAGGAGAUGCCAUGUGAAUUUACAAACAGAUGAGAUUAUAAUACGUGAUACGAUUAUUUAUUAAAAUGUAUACAAAAGAUUAAAUUGAUUCAAUAAUUGGAAAUAUCGAUACAUAUUUAAAAACCAAUCUAAUACACACGAAUAACAAUAUUAGUGCAAAAUUAUUCUAUGGAAAAUAUGAAUUUUUUUCAAACUAAAAAUAUAAGCUUUGAUUACGUCGCAAUCUCGAUCUUACAUCAUAUUGAUAUUCGUAUCGGCUGUUUAUCGAUUGAAUCAUAUUCACUAGAUAAGUCUAAAAAGAAUUCAAUUCAAAAAUAGGAAAAGAAAAAAAGAAAAACAAGUCUGAAAAAUUUAAAAAUCAACACAUUCCACCAAAUUUUCCUUUCCCUCCUCCAAUAUCUUCCAUUUCUACACUGAUCGUACUUAUCUAUUACUCACGAUGCACUCGAAAAAAAAAAAAGAAAAAAUGAAUAGAAAAAUAUUCGUAAAAAUCGACAAUAAGAAUUUUGAAAUCCGUUUCAAAUGUAAAAGUUCAGAAAACAAAAAUUGACAGAUAUAGACAGUUAAUUUGGAUUACGAUGUGCUGUAAGCGACUCAAACGCAACGACUGAUCGACAAAACCAAAUUGUGCAGAUUAAAAUUCUACGCGUGAGUGAGUGGCCUCAUGAACGAGAUAGGAUUGACGUUGGAGAAACUCGUUGAUGACAAUGUUCGUUAAACGCGAGCACGUUCAAGGGAACACGAAUAAAAUAAAAAAAAAAAAUAUUAAAAGAAGAAUUUUCAUUGCAAUUAGAGACUCGUUUCUGGCAAAGCAAAAGUGCUUCGAGUUAUGGCUGAUAUUUGUAUUGAAUUAUUUUGUCACUCCAUAGACAGCUUUGAAAGUAUCACUUUGAUGCGAGGCAAAGAAUUAUAUAUUGGUGCUAAUAACAUUUUCCUUUGGCUGUUUUAAUAAUAUUUGCUUGAUAUAUAAAUAUAUACCGUUUGUGCCUAUUGUUUCAUUUUCUCAAAUUUGAAUGUCGAUUGGCUGAAGAAUUUAGAUUAUUAAAUGGAUCGAAAUGAAGUUAUCAUGGAGAUUAGUUUCCUUCUCAUAAUUGUAAAAAGCGUGUAGUUGUAAGAUAUUAGCGCUUGUAGAAUAAUUAAAUGGAAGCCUAUGUUUGAGUAAAUGUGAUCGAAAAUGUGUUCUUCGCUGGUUUUGGUAUGUAUAGAAAUCAAGAUGAUGUUUAUUCUUUUGAUGAAUUUAUAGAAGAAUUUCUAGAAGAAAAGGAAACAGUGUCUGAAUGAUCGAUCGGUUUCGACGUGGACCAAACAAAUCGUCGGAUGAUGUCGAUCGCCAGCUCGAUUCUGAUCGAGAUCCCGUUUCAACUUCGACUCUUGAUGCUUCCCAGAGAGAUUUACGCGCCGAGCUCGCCCGUUCCUCCUCCACUGCUUCACUUUUAUCGUUGUCUGCUAGUUUUCACUUGGGAAUAAUUAACGUCGCGACCGUUUGGAUUUCGAGAUGCGAAUUUGGAAUUCAUGGAUCGGUAAAUCGGUGUAAUGGUAUAUAAAUCUAUUGUCGAUCAGAAUUGAUGGAAAUGAGUUGUCGAGUUUUUGGUGGAAGAUGAAUUGUAAACGUGAUUUUGUAUAAGGGAUUACUUUUAUAACGACGAAAAAAAAGAAAUAUGAGUAUGUAGAAAGUGUAGAGGAAAGCAAACAUUUAUUUAAAUGUUAAAGAAAAAAGUUGUCACCGAAUUUCCAGAUCGAAAGUAAAGCCAUCUAUAAAAAUUCAUUCUGAUUCAUCUCUGAUUGAAAUUUGAGAAAGAUUUUGUUCUACUGAGAAGUGUUAAAAUUAAAAUUAUAAAUUAUAAUAACAAAAAUUCUUUGAAAAUUCGAUAUAAAGCCUGUCCAAUCGAAAUUCGAAUCAUUGUUGAGAUUUUAAAAACCAGAUUCUAAAUCAAAGUACAAAUUUCUCGAAAAUCCUAUAAUAAUUUAAAAUUCGAAACACAGUUUUUAAAAAAUCAAAAUUAAAUACCUGAACCUUACUGAAAUCAUCGAUUCAGAAUUUGAAAUAUUCAAUUUGAAAUAUUCAAUUCAGAUAUCCAAAUUAAAAAACGAUAAAUCUAUGAAUACUAUAAAUACAUACAAACACCAUCAUACAUACAAUACCAAUCAAAAUGAGUUUUCAAACCUGGAUAAACAACAGUUUACGAACAGAAACAACUAUUUUUUAAAAAUUCCAUAAAAUAAUCACCGAAUCGUUAAAAAAAAAAUUCACAUCUCUAAAAUCAAAAUUACAGCAACAAUUUUUCCAAAAAUUUUUCUCGUACACAAUCUACACUCGAUUACUCGAUUGCGUGUACACGACAAAAUAGUUCAACAUGAUGACGAUUGACUGACUACGGAAUCACGAUUAUCAUCGACGAUCCUCGAGUCGAUCGAUCGAGGAUCCAUUGUUAGGCAACGCGAUGUCCCGAGAUAUGUGCCACGUUUUAAUAAAGCUAGACCCAGUUGCAGAAGGCAUGAUGGCCUCGAAUCCACUGACUUUUCGAUACGAGAAGGGGGAUCAUAUGGAUCGGGAUGCUUGAACCCCUCUUUUUCUCGAUCGUCUAGCCAAAUAUUUUGUUUGCUGUUUGCAAUUGCGUCGAUGGAUUACGUGACGCCUGAUUUAUUCGUUUAUUAGAGAGUUUUGAUGAGCAAGAGAAGAAACAUAUUUUUUGGCAAAUAUAUCCUCCAGAUAAAAACAAAAAUCUAUUAGAGAUAAUUCAGAAAAUAUUGUACCCACGAUUAUUGUAUAUUGUAUAUUGUAUAUUGGAUCAUAUUGUAUAUUGAGUUUAGAUGGUAGAUUAUCAUAGUAUAUGUUGGAAAACGACCAGUAUCACACCUGUGGAAGAUUUAAAUGCAAGAGAAGCGAAGGCCUCCUAAAAACUUCUGACUGAUUCGUAAGAAUAUCUUUUAUUGAUGUUGCUCAAACAGAUUUUGCUACCUUUGUUUAAAAGAAAAUCAAAGCACGUUGUUUAUCUUUUGUAUCGCAAAAAAAAUAAAUAAAUCACGUAAUCCUAGCCAGGGAUCCUAGCCAACACUGUGAGCAGGUGAGAUAGAUGAAUUUGGCUAGAGCAAACCUACUUUUAUAAAUUAUUAGUAUACAGUAAUAAAGAAGGAAAAUAUUAGUAUUUGAUCCCUUCAAAUCGAAUAAAAUCCUAUCCAACUGGCCAGUAUUAUGAGUAUACAUAUAAAAAGUUUCUUGGUAGCUUGAAAAUUAAUAUAAGUGUAUGUUUUAAAAAAUAUGUGUAGGCUAAAAAUUAGUAGAAUUAAUUAAAUGAAAUAGAUCAUUAAAACGAGCCUUUUAGUGAAAUUACUUGAAAGACAAAUGUUUAUUUAAUUAUUGAUGGCGAUAUCGAAUAAGUAAAUAGUGAUGAAAAUACAGAUUUAUUAAUAAGAUUCAUUGCGAUGAUGUUUCAGUAACUAGUGUAGGUUCUUUAACUGAGCAAUGUUUUCUAAAUUUUUUUUUUAUCAACAAACUUUUUAUCAAAAAUGUUUUAAAAUCUGAAAUGAAAUGAUUAAGAAGGAAAAGUAAAAGAAAAGAAAAAAAAAAAAUAAUAAAAUUAAAAUUACUUCAAUAGUAUUCAAUAAUUCAUAAUUUGAUCGUAUUUGUCUAAUUGAGAAAACAGAAUGGAAUGUUUAUGAUAGCAAAACAAUAAUAUAGAUAGAAUAAUGAUAGAAAUAGUAGCAUAAGACAAUGUGAAUACGUUCGCAAUUCGAUACUGAACAACACGUUAUGAAACAUUCAAUGGAAUCUCCUUGAAGGUAUUAUUCGAUUUGAAAGGCUAAUACUGCACACUGUUCGAAUGGCGAAUAGCAAUUGCACAUCACGGCCUGGUUAGUUUAGCUUGCAAAAGCUACAAAAAAAAUCCUAAAUGCAAAACGUAUUCGAUUAAGUAUUUUAACACGUAGCGAAGAGAAAAGAAAAAGUUGAUACGAUUUUUUUUAAACUUGAAAUCUUUUAGUCUGCUUUAGUUUUCGAAUCUUUAGUAACGAAAAAGUUCAUAUUUUCAUUUUUUUCUCUUUCAAAAAGUUUACAGAAAAAAAAUAAUAUUCGCACAAAAUAAAAACUAUAUAAUCAAAUAUUAUUAAUAAAGCCAUAGAUCGAUGCAUAACAAUUUUCAUAGAAUUCCAAAAAAAAAAAAACUAAAUUUGCUCAAUUUAAUUUAAUAUAUACAAUUUAACGUCCAACAAAAUUCAUAUCAAAACAAAAUAUACAAAUAAAUUUUUAUCAUUAAUAAUAACUGAAAAUUUUAAAAAACAAAAAUCAACUAUUCGAGAAUUUUUUAUGUUAAAUUUGAAAGAAAAUUAAUUCAAAGGAAGGAGAUUUUAUGCUCGAUAAAAGUCAAAUAAAAUUACCGAAUAUUUAAAAUUUGCGCGUAGCAAAUAUCAAGAUUAUUCGACCAAUUGUUAUUGCAAGUUUACUCAGCGGUCGCGCAAAGCGAUUAUUUAUACAGGGGCGCUUUAAUUUUCUCGACGGAAAUUAUCUUUGCCUGUGAGCUCAUCGUAAAUGCAUUUCUAAUUGUCUCGCUCGUUGCAACUUCAUCGUGGAAUCUAUAUCUUGCAUAUGACGUUUAAAUUUUAUAUACCACACCUCUCCAGAUGCGUAUAUACGGCUGAAGUAACUGUUAUUCACGGGUUCAAAAUAAACUCCCUAUAUUUUAGCAAGCUUUUGCAAAUUUGAAGGAAAUUUG
rnacentral:lncRNA from 1 species